rnacentral:sRNA from 1 species
AACAGGCUCCCGCCCCCUUCCCCCACCCGUCACAUACUCCGCGCCCCUCGAAGUCCGCGCCGCAAACAUCGGCAACCGCUUCGCCACCCCGCUCACCAACCCCCGCAAGCCCAUCGUCGCAUCCCGCCCCAACACAAUCCCCGCAGAAUGCGCCGUUGCAUUGCCUGUCCCCAUCGGCACCAGCGCCACAACAGGAGACACAAAGUCGUCCGCAGCCCUAACGGCCGUCAGGCCCUGUAUAAUCUCAACCAGCCCGCCAUCGCCAGCCAGGAGAAUGAUGGUCUGCGCGAUCCCGCGCUGGGCGCGCGGGCGGAAGAUAGUUUGCGUGAGGUGGGUGAUUGUGUCGGCGGAGG